rnacentral:rRNA from 1 species
CACGUAGGGGGCGAGCGUUGUUCGGAAUUACUGGGCGUAAAGGGCAUGUAGGCGGCUCUGUAAGUCCGGCGUGGAAGCCCACGGCUUAACCGUGGGAUUGCGCUGGAAACUGUGGGGCUUGAAUCACGGAGAGGGAGCUAGAAUUCCAGGUGUAGGGGUGAAAUCUGUAGAGAUCUGGAAGAAUACCAGUGGCGAAGGCGAGCUCCUGGCCGAUGAUUGACGCUGAGGUGCGAAAGUGUGGGGAUCAAACAGG